GACGAACGCUGGCGGCGUGCUUAACACAUGCAAGUCGAACGGACAGGCCCGGCUUUUGUGGGUUGCUCGAGUGCCGAACGGGGGAGUAACACGUGAGGAACCUGCCCUUGACUUUGGGAUAACUUCAGGAAACUGGGGCUAAUACCGGAUAUGAGCUCCUGCUCCAUGUUGGGGGUUGGAAAGUUUCGGCGGUUGGGGAUGGACUCGCUGCUUAUCAGCUUGUUGGUGUGGUAGUGGCUUACCAGGGCUUUGACGGGUAGCCGGCCUGAGAGGGUGACCGGCCACAAUGGGCCUGCGAUACGGCCCAGUAUGCUACGGGAGGCAGUAGUGGGGAGUAUUGCACAAUGGGCGGACGCCUGAUGCAGCAACGCUGCGUGCGGGAUGCCGGCCUUCGGGUUGUAAACCGCUGUCGCAUGUGACGAAGCGUGAGUGACGGUAAUGGGUAAAGAAGCAACGGCUAACUACGUG
rnacentral:rRNA from 1 species